UUUUCACUGGCAGAGGCACUACAAGUUGGUUCUUCACUGUUUCCACAGCAGCUCCGUGGGCCUUGAGUUUGGCUGCUCUAGAACCCUUCUUUCUGUCACAAAGCAUGCCCAUUGUUGCCUAACCCAUGACUAUGCUCCAGCAAUAGUGGGUUAGGAAUAGGAGGUGUUAAGAGAUACCAAUUUGUCCACCAUCACUGAGGAAAAUGCAUGUGACUGCAUUCUGCUCGCAUAGUAUGAAAUAUCACAACAUUUUUGUUCUUCUAGAUUAUGAAAUUGUGAUAAGAUAGGUGGUCAAUAAAUCAAAUAAAUAAAACACUUUUUAAAAACAACAGUGGAACUUGUUAUCACAACUUUACCCUUCCUUCUUCCUUUCUUUAGAUUUGGCAGGAAAUUAUUAAACCAUUUAACUGGGUAUAUUCCAACAUAGCCUUGUUUUCUAGUUCUCCCUCAAAUUGAGUCAUAUUUUUUUUACCUUGGAUUGUAACAUAAAUUUGGUAAAUUUAGAACAUUUUUGUGCAGGUAAGCCUCUCCUCAUCCUAUGGCCUUCUCUGAUAGCUGAUAGCUAUGGAAACCACGGUAAAUUGAUCCAUAAUUGACUAAUCCUACUGUAUCAUAUAACAAUGCAGAGAAGGUUCAAAGUGGAAAAUAUUCAAUGCAGGAAAAUUGACUAGCUUUAAUUGACUUUCAAAAUCUGUAGUUUAAAAUGCUGACGAGACUUCAAUAAACAGAUUAGUACGGAAGAGAAACAAUGUCUGUUUGGAAUAAAAUAAAUUAUUUGUUAUUCAAAUGAGAGUGCCUUCAUGGAGUGUUUUUCCCCCCAAAACAUGUGACACCAAGAGUAAAAACUACUUUUUAAUAACAAGACAUUUUCCCUGAUUCUUUCUAUUAUCAUUACUCCUCUUUUAUAACAUAGACAAUGAGGAUACUGGCUCCUUGUUUUCUUGGCAUCUCUAUUCUUGAAGAACAACAGCUGAAAACAAUUGCAAUUAGUUCUGAUUAUUUUCAUUAGUUGUUUGUGUAUUACUGGUGGAUGUCUGUUGGAUUUUUGCAAUAAUCUGAUUUAUAAGUUUUUGAGUCUGGGAAAUAGGGUAGUGCAAAGCACUUGAAGUAGGUGGUUUGCAAAACCUGCCAGCACAAAUAAAGCAUCUCUCUCCAAAUAAUUAAACCUUUUUUGUUUUGCAAGGCUCUUAUAUUUACUUUGAAAGAAGUUAAUGUUUGCCUUCACAUGUGUGUGCAUGCUUCACUUUGUUGCUGGUCCUCGUAGAAAAGCUGAAGGAGGUGUGGGCAUGCAUGAUAAGUUCAAACAACCCAGACCGGGCAGUUGUACCAGUUGCAAGACGGUUGGUUUAAUAAUUUAAAGGUUUGCGCUAAUACAUGUUGCAAACCACUUACUUUAAAUGCUCUAUGCAACUUCAUUGUUAUUUCAGAAGAAGCUGGGAAGCAACGUUUUAAUAAACUUUCAAGAUGCCACAGUUGGAGGAAGAGAAGAGAACUGGCUAUCAGAAGUAACACCCAUGGGAAAUAUCCAAUUAGAUAUUGAGUAUGUUUCUGUAGCAGGUGGCUGAACAACUACAGAAGAUACUGAAGCUGGGAGAAUGGUGAGAAGAUGCAAUGUAUUUCACCACCAAGAGGACACCAAGACAGUACCUACAAUAGGAGCGUGAACAAUUAAAUGAAGCAAGUUGGAUUUGGCCACAGCAAAUGCAAAGAUUUUGGUAGAAUCAAGCUGAAAAAGAAGAAGCUGAGUGUGAUGAUUUCCCCAGAAAAAAAUAAAUCAUAAUAGAACACAGAAGAACAAGGGGGAAAAAAAUCUUAGCUGCUAAAAGGAGAAAAAUGCUGUGCAGUUUUUUUUUAAAAACUGUUCGAUCAAAUACAGGAAUCCCAGAUUAUAAUAAUGAAGAGUAUAUUCUUGCCCGUGAAAUUUGCCCCAGGUUAAUACGAAAUUUGGAUUCCCAGAAAAAAAUCCUUGCAGAAACAAGAUAGAGUAACUGAACAAAGCAUGUUGCAGUAUAAUUUUCAUAUGGAUUAAAGUGAGGGAAGACAUAUUGAGGACUACAGCAAAGCACC